AGAACGAACGCUGGCGGCAUGCCUAAUACAUGCAAGUCGAACGAAGGCUUCGGCCUUAGUGGCGCACGGGUGCGUAACGCGUGGGAAUCUGCCCCUUGGUUCGGAAUAACAGUUGGAAACGACUGCUAAUACCGGAUGAUGACGAAAGUCCAAAGAUUUAUCGCCAAGGGAUGAGCCCGCGUAGGAUUAGCUAGUUGGUGAGGUAAAGGCUCACCAAGGCGACGAUCCUUAGCUGGUCUGAGAGGAUGAUCAGCCACACGUGGGACGUGGACACCGGCCCAGACUCCGUACGGGAGCAGCAGGUAGGAAUAGU
rnacentral:rRNA from 1 species